GGCUGGUCCGAUGACAGUGGUUUAUCAGAACUUAUUAACAUUUGUGUCACUAAAGUUGGUAUACCACCGCCCCCCACUGCUAAAUUUGACUGGUUUAAA
ensembl:misc_RNA Y_RNA Y RNA